AAUAGAUACCCGGGUAGUCCACGCCGUAAACGAUGAGUGCUAAGUGUUAGAGGGUUUCCGCCCUUUAGUGCUGAAGUUAACGCAUUAAGCACUCCGCCUGGGGAGUACGGCCGCAAGGCUGAAACUCAAAGGAAUUGACGGGGGCCCGCACAAGCGGUGGAGCAUGUGGUUUAAUUCGAAGCAACGCGAAGAACCUUACCAGGUCUUGACAUCCUCUGACAACCCUAGAGAUAGGGCUUCUCCUUCGGGAGCAGAGUGACAGGUGGUGCAUGGUUGUCGUCAGCUCGUGUCGUGAGAUGUUGGGUUAAGUCCCGCAACGAGCACAACCCUUGAUCUUAGUUGCCAUCAUUCAGUUGGGCACUCUAAAGUGACUGCCGGUGACAAACCGGAGGAAGGUGGGGAUGACGUCAAAUCAUCAUGCCCCUUAUGACCUGGGCUACACACGUGCUACAAUGGACGGUACAAAGAGCUGCAAGACCGCGAGGUGGAGCUAAUCUCAUAAAACCGUUCUCAGUUCGGA
rnacentral:rRNA from 1 species